CGAGGCUACUUUGCUUUCACCAACUCUGUGAUAAAGGAAGAGUGCACUGUCAUUUUGCAGAUAAAGAAACAGGCAAAACCAAGCAUGGCGCCACAUAUUCAUAAUCUCAGCACUAGGGAGGCUAAAGCAGGAGGAUUUCUGUGAGUUCAAGACUGGUCUGGACAUAGCAAGGAUGAGAAUCGGACCUCCCUGGGUGCUCUUCAAAGAGCCUGUGAUUUUACUUCUUUUGCCAUGAUCUGCAGUUCCUGAGUGACGCCCUACUAUGGCGGUGUACAAUGUAUGGGACACAGGGAAAAUACCAUAUAAUCUGACAAAAUGAACCUUAGUUUUGGGACAGAAACAGUCACAAAUUUGUCUUCUCUGUUACAAUUUCUCCUUCCCUUUCCCCCUUCUCUCUCAUUCCCUUCUCUGGGAGCACAAGUCUGGAGACCUGUUUGCCCAGGACUGCUGAGUGUGGCUAACCAACCAAGGGGACAGAAGUUGGAUCAGGGUGUAGAACUCUGAGCUCCUCCAGCGCCAUGUCUGCCUGGAUGCUGCCAUGCUUCCUGCCAUGAUGAUAAUGGACUGAAUCUCUGAACCUAAGAGUUCAUCCUGCACCCGGUGAAAUUGGACCAUAUAGGCUCUUCGUUUCCUCCUUCCAACUCUCCUGUGUCUCCCCUGACAACUUCAUGCCUUACUCUCCUCCUAAUGGGUGUGGAUCGUCCACAGGAGAAUCUUACAGGGGCCGCAUCCUUAAAAACAGGAAUGCAUCUCACUUUGCGGAAACCUCCAGUACAGUUCUUUCCUCCAGAGGGCUGGGUCCACCUCACCUAUGUGUCAGCUUGGCCGGUACCCAGAGCUGCUGUGAUCUCAUGCCUGGAAUGGUGUAUCAGGUCCAGAAGACAGCAGUUCAAGACAUUCCUCCCCAUCCCCUGCUCUCAAGAACAAGUUUUACAACUAAGGCUCACUUCUCCCACACUGCCACAUUGUAUCCUCCUUAUUCAAAGCAAAAUGUGAAAAGUCAAACUGAAUAAAUGAAUUAAAUAAAUGAAUGAAUGAAUGAAAGACAGACAGGCAGAAAGAAAGAAAGAAAGAAAGAAAGAAAGAAGGAAAGAAAGAAAGAAAGAGAAAGAGAGAAAGAGAGAAAGCAAGCAAGCAGCCCUGUAGGCUGAGGGACAAGAUUCGGGGAUGUGGUGAGGGCACGCUGUUGCAUUUGACUAGAACUAAUUUUGUUAUUCCCUCUGGUUCUUGUCCCAGGAAGGAAAAAAUCAACAGUGAGUGUAAUAAAUCCCUUUCACUAAUGAGAGCAGCGUGGUUGUGGUUUGGAGUUUAUAAAGUAUCUGGGAUUUCUACAUUAUUCUCUUUUUAAAACUGGGUCUGACACACACAAAAAAAGUUCUUUCUAAAAUACAUACCCCAGUGGAUAAGUUUUUAAAAAAUUAUGUAUUUAAAAAAAAAGUUUCAGCGAGCUCCCUUUUCGGUGAGCUUCAGCCAUAGAAGCCAUAGCUGACGGCUCGGCCAACUGGUUUUAAGCAGUUCAAUUUGGUCCAGCUCUCGGUUGUUAAUACCGCACUACCGAUCUUUAAUUUGUGGAACCACAGGGGAACAUUUAAAUGAAAGAACACUCAAUUUCAUAGUAGUUUCUAAAUGAAAACAUAUGUAUCUGUAAUGGGCUUUCAAGAGUUUUGUGUGGUUUUCUUUUUUCAAUGAGAGCUUUGUGUGUGGUAUCUCUUAGGCCUAGGGUUUGUUUUUGUUUACCUUAAGGCACUCUCUCUGCAGCCCAGGGUAGCCCAGAACUCAGAAUACAGGCUGGCCUUGAACGACGACCACCCCACUUUGGUCUUCUGAGUGGUGGAAUGCCCAGCAUGCAACACGGUGCUCGAUGCUUUUAUUGGGCUUUUAUUAUUACGGUUGUUUGCAUGAUGUGUUAUGAUGUGUGUCUGGCCAGAAGAGCGUUUGAGAGACGGUUCUCCCUUUUCACCAAACUCAUACCUGUAACGUGCUUUUACCUGUUUAGCUAUCUCACCUUGUGCAGGGCAUAUGUGUGGGUGCAGGAUCUUAUACUGUAACUCAAGCCAGCCUGAAGUAAUCCAAACUGGCCUUCAACUCGCAGCAAUCCUCCUGUCUCAGCCUCCCAACUGGUGGGAAAACAAACAAUUUUUUUUCAGCUUUUCCUUAACGGGCUCAUUGAGGCAGGAAUAAUUAAUACUCAGGAGGGGAGAUGUCUAGAUGAGGCAUGCUGGGAGGUUACAAAGCAUGCUGGGAGACUGUGGAGCAUGCUGGGAGAUUGGGAUAUAUGCUGGGAGCUCAUGAAGCUAUAGCUUCCAGGAUGUCCACUCCUGUCCACUCCUUCCUUAGAUGAUACCAAAUGUCAUAUUUAGGGAGAAGAGAGUAAAAGAAAAGCUUCACUUUUAUAAAGUGGGUUGAUUUUCGAGUUCACGGCCCAAAAUUGACUUGUACCUCUUUCUGGAGAGAGAUUAAAAAUAGCCCUGGGGAAAACAAAUCCUUCUCUAUCUCUAAUUUUCAUCAAAUGUUUUCAGGUUCCUUUGAAGGGAAGUCCGGGUUUUGAGUCCAUCAUCGCUGAAGUUAGAGCAACAUUUAAUACUAUGUUCCUGCUACUGGGAGGAGAUUGGAAACCUACGCUAAUUUAAAACAUUAAAACAGAGAGCGUGACACUGGGAAGGGGCUGGGUUUGCUCUCUCGCUUCACCCACUGAUAGCUUCCUCUCAGAGUUUACCAAGCUUUUCUGUGGGCUGAACAGCUGUCUCCCCCAGAGCUGAGUUGAUGCUGAACUUCCCAAGGCAGAGUUUUGGUGACCUGCUUGGGUCCACAAAGGACAUGGAAGGUACCUCGUCUUGGGAUGUGGCCCUGGUGAGCAGAGUCCUAGGGCACUGGGAAAGACUGGGGUGAGCUGGGCUGUCUCCCCCACCGAGUAUCUCUGGUUUACCUACUCUCCAUUUUGAUGAUAUGAUGCCCUCCUGGUAGAGGAAGUGGCCACUUAUUUUGGGCUUGUAGUUCCCAAUCAGCGAGAUAAAUAAAUUUCUUUAUAAACUACCCGAUAUUCUGUUGUAUUAACAGAAACGAGUGGAGACUUUUCAUUGCUAUAUUCCCAAGUAUUUUUUUCUGCUGUUUCCCCCUCCCCCCAAAGACUAUCUGAGUACACCAUAGCUGUCUUCAGACACAACGGAAGGGAGACUAGGAUCCCAUUACAGAUGGUCGUGAGCCACCAUGUGGUUGCUGGGAAUUGAACUCAGGACGUCUGGAAGAACCGUCCGUGUUCUUAAGGGCUGAGCCAUCUUUCCAGCCCUUCUCUACUCUUACAAUACCUAUAACUGUACAAAUCCUUCAAUGGACCUCGUGUACAUAGGCCAGUAACUAAUACUGCAUACCAAUAACUAAUUUUAGUAACACUUUCCCAAUAUCUCCAGAUAUACUCGAGGAAUUCGGGUGGCCUCAACAAUCUAUCUUGAAUACCUUAAGCAUAAGGGAUUUCCCAUCCAUCCAUAAAUAUUUCCGAUUGCUGUUGGUAUGAUUUCUAGCUAUGUGUAAUGUCUGUCCAUGAAUAUAUAUAGGUAUAUUGUCUGCAUAAAUAUAUGUGUAUAUAUACUGUAUACAUAUGGCUAUGGUUACUGUCUGCACAAAUAUAUAUAUGCCUAUAUGCACAUUGAAAGAUGGUAUGGGAUUGUUUGGUUUCAAUCCACACUCUAUUUCUUUUUGCACAACCUUCUGGUGGUACUUAUGUAAUUCUCCAGGUUUGCUAUUGUGUUGAUGAAAUAAUAGAAUAAAAUUAUGUAACUCACGGCUCGCUGUGAGGUCUUAUUUAUUAAUUUAUAUAUUUUUAUUCUUUCGGAGACAGAAUGUUGCUAUGGAGUACUGAUGUCCUGGAAAUUGUAACAUAGCCUAGGAUAGUUUUGAACUUGUGAACUUUCCAUCUCAGCCUCUCAAUUAUGAGGGUGAUAGGUAUGCUUGACCACAUAGGACUCCAUGAGCUUGCCUAUGUAAAGAGCAGUACCUGUGUAAGUCUAUGAAUUUAAAACCCUCACUUAUUAAUUAUAUUUAUGUAUAUAUUAAUUGCAUGGGUAAGUAUGUGCCCAUAUAAUCUAUAAUUCCCUAGUCUACAAAAAUAAGAUAAUUUCAUAUUUAUUACUUAAAACCCUGAAAAAAUAUAUUUAUAAAUCUCCUCCCACUUACAGCACACAUACAGUUCCUUGGGAAUUGCACAGUUAUCCAAAGUCCAAGGUGAAUGAGGUUACCAACAUAACUCAUGCCUGGGAUUUAUAUCCUGUAAAUUUUGUAUUUUGCUUUAAUGUUCCAGUGUUGGGAAUUGAGGCUGGAGUUUUGUACACUGUAGACUAGUGCUCUAUCAAUGAGCUCUAUGCCAGACCUUAAGUUUGGCAUUUUAAUACUUACCACUGCAAACUGGCACUGCUGUGCUCCAGGAGGAGUCAAGGUGAAGUGGAAUGGACUGGCUUGGAGCUGGCCAAGGCUAGCAUGCGUCUAGUGCAGUCACUACCACAGAGCAGGGCCUUGGGCAGCUCCCCAGCCUUGCCAAGCUUCCCUUCCCUCCUCUGCAGAGGAGGACUGUCACACUUCUUGCACGUCUGUCGUGUAAAGGAGAGAAAAGAACACAUUCAAGAAACACGUGGUUCAGAUUCCGGGAUGUAGCACACGCUUGAUAAAUGGAAACACUGACGUUCAAUAAAGCCCCAGUUUCAGUGUGGUGUGUGUGUGUGUGUG